rnacentral:lncRNA from 1 species
CGCGCGUUCACGUCGUUGCGGUUCUGUCGAAACACGGGCAACAUAACCUCGAAAGCGCCGCGCGCAAGAGCCGAGGCCGCCUGUCUCCAGGGGUCACCUACUUUUGCAACUACUUCCUUCAACCCUACCGCUGGAUCGCACUCGAUCAUCCCGAAUCUUUCGAAUCACAAUCGGCGAACGAUCCUGAAACAAUACCAUCACUGCAAAUGAGCACCUGUAUUAUGUAAAUGAUUAUCAAUUGGGCAACGAUAAGAUUAAUCGAUACAAGCGGGAUAACAGCGGCAAUGCAAAUUUUCAAAUUUCUUCGUCGCAAAUUAGCGCCCGCAUUGCGCAAAGAAUUUUCAUUCCGCAACGAUAAGAUUUAAUCAAUAUAUGUAUAUAUGAAUAAUAAUUCAACCGAUCUCUCGUGUGCUCGGAACAUUUCCCACGCUCUGCGGCUUUUAUAUAUUUAUUUAACAUGAAUAUAUUAAACCAGUUAAUAUUGGUUCGAUUAUAAAUAAAAACGCGAGGGCAUGCAUCGUGCGUUGAAUCAAUUCUCUUUACAAGUGUAUUGCGAUACUGCAUAUUGUGUGUGAAUUGUAUGUACUAUAUGUACAUAUACAUAAAUUUAAUUACAAAUAAACGGAGUACCCGUUGUCGUACGCGUCUAAAUGUAUUAUAUUAUAUUAAAUAAUAAUUAUAAUUAUAUAUAAUAUAUAUAAUAAAUAUAUAUAAUUAUAUACAAUAUAUAAAUUAUAUUAUAUAUUAUAUAUAAAUAUAAUUGUCCUUUCUCAACUUAACGUUACAUCGAAAGUAAUACAAUAAUGCAAACCGCGAAUGUCACUAAAGUAACACAUAUAUGUAUAACCGAUAUGGAAAAUAAAUGACAUUGGAUUGUACAAAGAUUGUAUUUCGAAACGUGAAUCCGUCAACUUUUUAUACUGCGGAAAUUAUUCAACAUCUAAUCUGAUGAGAAAAAAUUGAAUGUGUAUAUCCUUAAAUCUCCGCAUAUACAUACAUUCAUUCACAAAUUAUUAUCAAUGUAAGAACCAUCUUUUGUUGCGUAAUUGUUAACCGAAAACAUAAAAUCCGUGGCUCAACGUUGACGCUGAUAAAUUAUCAAAGUUGCAAUGUAACAAAACGUAGAGUAAAACAAAGUGAAUACGAGAAAUUUUCGCGCUGCAAAGCAAGAGCAAACAAUAAAUUCAACAAAUAAGUCUUUUUACAUUUAAUGAUACAAAUGAUGAAAUCAGUGUAUAUAGUAAAAUGUAUUUAUUAUAGAAUCCAGGAAAAAUUGCUGAGAUGUAAAAACAUACGAGUGCGUGUGUCUGUGUGGGUUUCUACCGCAAAAUGAAUUACGAUAACAUUGCUUAAAACAUAAUAAUUUUAAUGUGCCUCGUAUUUUGCUUAAAAUGUAAGUUUCUAGCAUAUCUCUAACGUUCUUUUUUUCUCUUACUAUAGUAAAAAUAUAAAUUUCUAUUCCCCUAAUAUAUAUAUAUAUAUAUUUCUUACAAAAGAAGAUAAUAACGGGGUCGUAGAAAGAAACAUAUGCCUCUUUGAAAGGAAUAUAGACACAGUCAUUAUUGAAAACUUACAGUUAUUAUAUGCGCAUUUUGUACUCGGUACAUGUAAAUCAAUGAAUAUCUUCGUAACAUUGUAUUUGAUUAUGUUAUAUGUUUCAACAAAAUAGUAAGUAUAUUACACAUUCUACACGAUGUUAAUCCUUCAAAAUUUUGCCGUAGCUUCUUUGCAGCGGAAAACUCGUAUUCUAAACAUUAAAGAUAGAUUACAAUCACAAUAUUAUAUAAAUACAUAUACAUACAUAUAAAUACAUAUGUAUAUGUACAUAUAUAUAUAUAUAUUGUAGUAUUAUUUUAUACAGUCUAACUUCUAGAGCCGUAUAGAGCCGCAUAGAUUAUGUGAUCUUAUACUUUCUGCUACUCCAAUAAAAACUCGUUCCUUCUCUUUCUUUCAAUAUUAUAUAUUUUAAUAAUAAAUCUAUUUUUUGAUACUAAACAUCAUUCCACACCGUUAAAAAAAUCCAAUGCAUAAAUGAGCAUUGAAAAAAAAUUUAUUCUGCUCUCAAACAUCCUGUUUUUUUAAGCGGACGAAUUUAUACAAUUCUGUAAGCGCAUCAGUUUCUUAUGAUAAAAAUCCAAAACGUGCAUGGUAUCUUAAAACUCAAGGUUGAAAAGGAAAAGGUGGGGGAGUUGAAUAAUUUUCUUUAAUGCCUAAUAAAGCAUUAAAUUUCUUGAACUUUGCGAAAUAAUAUUCAUUAUUAAA